GUGGAGAGUUUGAAGGCUAGGACCUAUUAAUUUGGAAUCAAAAAAGUAAAAUCAAAAUGCCGUGAAACAGGAACUAUGUUGUUUGGUGGUGUUGCUCCGCGCCAUACCGUAAUUGUAUUCACUCGGCGGACGGGCUGAAUGGUUUGGUUUAUGAACUUCUUGUGCAGUGCAAGAGAAAGCCACACUUGAAGAAUGUGAAGCAUUGCUGGCUUCAGUAGUCAGCUAUGCAGGUCCUGUUGCUGAGGAUAUGUUCCAUUAGCAAGCAACAAUUAUGGGUCCAGCCGACAGCCCAUUUAUUGGAGGUGUUUUCCUUGUAUCCAUUCACUUCCCACUCAAUUACCAUUUCAAGCCAUUUAAGGGAAGUCAUGAAUUGGGUUGAACUGGAUGAGGAGACUUAAAGUAGCCCUUGGCGCAGCAAGAGGACAUCUUCGAAGAGCUAAUAUAGCUCUUGAUUUACAAUGCUGCAAUAGUAAUUGCUGGGCUAGCCUUGUAAUAGGUUGAUUGGGGUUUUAUUUUGCUUAUUUUGUGAACUGUCAGAGAUAAUGAUUUUGAAUAGAAAUUUGAAGAAUACCCAAUAUUCAAAUUACUCUUGUCAAAUGUGGAUUGCAUUUUAUAGUAGCAACUACAUAUUUUGUGGACAUCAUCCUUAUCUAAAGACCAUGAUGUAUAUACAUUAAGUUAAAAUCAGUAUAUAACUAUAAAAAUGAAGUCC
rnacentral:lncRNA from 1 species